ACCAAUUGUUGCCUCGGCGGAUCAGCCCGCUCCCGGUAAAACGGGACGGCCCGCCAGAGGACCCCUAAACUCUGUUUCUAUAUGUAACUUCUGAGUAAAACCAUAAAUAAAUCAAAACUUUCAACAACGGAUCUCUUGGUUCUGGCAUCGAUGAAGAACGCAGCAAAAUGCGAUAAGUAAUGUGAAUUGCAGAAUUCAGUGAAUCAUCGAAUCUUUGAACGCACAUUGCGCCCGCCAGUAUUCUGGCGGGCAUGCCUGUUCGAGCGUCAUUUCAACCCUCAAGCCCCCGGGUUUGGUGUUGGGGAUCGGCGAGCCUCACGGCAAGCCGGCCCCGAAAUAUAGUGGCGGUCUCGCUGCAGCUUCCAUUGCGUAGUAGUAAAACCCUCGCAACUGGUACGCGGCGCGGCCAAGCCGUUAAACCCCCAACUUCUGAAUGUUGACCUCGGAUCAGGUAGGAAUACCCGCUGAACUUAAGCAUAUCAAUAA
rnacentral:rRNA from 1 species